GUGAAUCAUCGAAUCUUUGAACGCACAUUGCGCCCGCCAGUAUUCUGGCGGGCAUGCCUGUCCGAGCGUCAUUUCAACCCUCGAACCCCUCCGGGGGAUCGGCGUUGGGGAUCGGGACCCCUCACACGGGUGCCGGCCCCUAAAUACAGUGGCGGUCUCGCCGCAGCCUCUCCUGCGCAGUAGUUUGCACAACUCGCACCGGGAGCGCGGCGCGUCCACGUCCGUAAAACACCCAACUUUCUGAAAUGUUGACCUCGGAUCAGGUAGGAAUACCCGCUGAACUUAAGCAUAUCAAUAAGCGGAGGA
rnacentral:misc_RNA from 1 species